rnacentral:rRNA from 1 species
GAUCCUGGCUCAGGAUGAACGCUAGCGACGGGCUUAACACAUGCAAGUCGAGGGGCAGCGAGGGAGUGGCAACACUUCUGUCGGCGACCGGCGCACGGGUGAGUAACGCGUAUGCAACCUGCCCUUNACAGGGGGAUAACCGGGAGAAAUUCCGACUAAUACCGCAUACGUCCUCCGGGGGCAUCCCCGGGGGAUGAAAGAAUUAUCGGUGAAGGAUGGGCAUGCGUGAUAUUAGGUAGUUGGCGGGGCAACGG